GAGUGGCGAACUGGUGAGUAACACGUGGGUAACCUGCCCUUGAAGUAGGGGAUAACACUUGGAAACAGGUGCUAAUACCGUAUAACAACCAAAACCACCUGGUUUUGGUUUAAAAGAUGGCUUCGGCUAUCACUUUAGGAUGGACCCGCGGCGUAUUAGCUUGUUGGUAAGGUAACGGCCUACCAAGGCAAUGAUACGUAGCCGACCUGAGAGGGUAAUCGGCCACAUUGGGACUGAGACACGGCCCAAACUCCUACGGGAGGCAGCAGUAGGGAAUCUUCCACAAUGGACGAAAGUCUGAUGGAGCAACGCCGCGUGAGUGAUGAAGGGUUUCGGCUCGUAAAACUCUGUUGUUGGAGAAGAACAGGUGUGAGAGUAACUGUUCACAUCUUGACGGUAUCCAACCAGAAAGCCACGGCUAACUACGUGCCAGCAGCCGCGGUAAUACGUAGGUGGCAAGCGUUGUCCGGAUUUAUUGGGCGUAAAGCGAGCGCAGGCGGUUUCUUAGGUCUGAUGUGAAAGCCUUCGGCUUAACCGGAGAAGUGCAUCGGAAACCAGGAGACUUGAGUGCAGAAGAGGACAGUGGAACUCCAUGUGUAGCGGUGAAAUGCGUAGAUAUAUGGAAGAACACCAGUGGCGAAGGCGGCUGUCUGGUCUGUAACUGACGCUGAGGCUCGAAAGCAUGGGUAGCGAACAGGAU
rnacentral:rRNA from 1 species